GCUGGGACUACAGGUGCCUGCCACAAUGCCCGGCUAUUUUUUUAAGGUGCUCCAGGAAAUAAUCCCAUCAUGAAAGAUUUCAUCCCCAUUCUAGUAGCAAGAAGACUUUUCUGAAGUGGGAGAUACUGGGAUAGGGGCUUAAAGCAGCACCCAAACUUCUCGGCAUCCCUGAGGAACAUUCCAGAGAGGCUGCCCAUAAUCUAAGUGGCAAGGGGGAAAGACCCCUUUCUUAGGAUAGAAGAUGACCCCGUUCUAGGGAAGAGUCUAGGGACUCUUGGUUGCAAGAGUUCCCAAGAGUCAUUAUUCUGGGGUCUCUCACCCUGGUUCUCAUGGCUCAGGUGGGGAGCUUCUAUCAGGGAGUUCCUCUGCCUCCUCCCAGGGCUUUCUUCAGAAUGAAACAAACAUAAAACUUUUGCACAGAGCACCCAGGAGAGAUUCUCUUCCCACAGCUCCCAGACAGCACAGCCAGUGCCCUCUGUGACACCGAGCCCAGCACCUCGCACACUGGAGCAUUGUCUGACCCACAGCCCACAAGCCCAUGUUCCUCAGGAGCAGGCAGGCCCAUGUUGGAGCUAGGAAGCUUGGGAUGCAGCCCCAGCUCUGCUGCACCCAGUGGUUUAACUGUGAUUAAUGCCAUCUUCUUUUCUGUGCCUCAGUUUCUCUCUUCAUGGAGUGGCAGCAGAGAAUCCACGUGUUUGCUGCCUCCCUGCCAUAGGGUUAGUGAGUGAGAGAUCCUUGAGCUCCUUGAAAGAAAGACCUCGGCCUGCACAGUGUGGACUUAGCUGCCUUCAGCCCCUGUCCUCGUCCUUAGUGGGACAGGUGUUUGCACUACCCAGUUUCUUGAGGGGCACAGGCUGUUCUGGUUCCCCCUUGUCAGCUAAAGACAAAGAAGGAAGACAACUGAUGAUUUUGUUCAGGACCCCAGAGUGGCAGCAUGGUGAGCAUCCUUACCGUUGCCCAGGCUGGCCCCUGCUUUGUUGGGAGGCUGGCUGUGAUUUAUACCACAGGCCAGGAGUCCCCUUGUUGGGGAGGCUUCCUGUUUUGCCCCACAGGAAGACAAAUCGCAGGGUACCAGGAAUAGAAGGAGCAAGCACACUCUCUUGGCCAGAGUCCCGGCCAUUGUGCCCCUGCCACCCCUUCUUGGCCACUGUCCCCCUUCCACCCAGCACCUGUAGUCCUGCUGGCAUCUGUGUUCACAUCCUAGCAUUGCUCCUGCCAUUUCCCUGAUGACUGAUCCCCAUUGGGUCUGACAUUCCGAGUAACCAGCAUAUAACUGAUAGUUUUAUUCCAGCAAUAGCCAUAGAGACUGGGUAGGAGUGGAGAAUCUCAGCUGCCUUCCUGGCCAGUUACCUUAGAAGUGUGACCAUGCUCCAGACCUUUGCUUCUCUCUCCUGCAAAGGAUGAGUUCCUAGGGUGCUAAGUACUUAUCAGGGCAGUGAGGGGGGCAGUUCCCUCAUACAGGUGUCUGCUUAGCAAAAAACACUAAGGUAACUGGCCCAGGGAUAUCCUCUCCUCUGGUUUCAAAGAUGUGCAAAUGAGGUUUAAGAAACCGUGUUUAAUUCCUAACCUUUUGCUAUCUGAAUAAAGCAGAGUUUAUUUCAA